rnacentral:rRNA from 1 species
UGGAGAAAAGCAGGGGAUCGUAAGACCUUGCGCUUUUGGAGUGGCCGAUGCCUGAUUAGCUAGUUGGUGGGGUAAGGGCCUACCAAGGCAACGAUCAGUAGUUGGUCUGAGAGGACGACCAGCCACACUGGGACUGAGACACGGCCCAGACUCCUACGGGAGGCAGCAGUGGGGAAUUUUGGACAAUGGGCGAAAGCCUGAUCCAGCAAUGCCGCGUGAGUGAAGAAGGCCUUCGGGUUGUAAAGCUCUUUCAGUCGAGAAGAAAAGGUUGUGACUAAUAAUCACAACUUAUGACGGUACCGACAGAAGAAGCACCGGCUAACUACGUGCCAGCAGCCGCGGUAAUACGUAGGGUGCGAGCGUUAAUCGGAAUUACUGGGCGUAAAGGGUGCGCAGGCGGCUUUGUAAGUCAGAUGUGA